GCUCACUUUGGUACUCAUGUACUAAAUUGAAAUAAUUCAGAAUAGAUUAGCAUUUCCUACUAUACAAGGAUGACAUGCAAAUUCUUGAAGCAUUCAAUAUUUAA